GGAGCGAAAGGGUGGGGAGCAAACAGGCUUAGAUACCCUGGUAGUCCACCCCGUAAACGUUGGGAACUAGUUGUGGGGUCCAUUCCACGGAUUCCGUGACGCAGCUAACGCAUUAAGUUCCCCGCUUGGGGAGUACGGCCGCAAGGCUAAAACUCAAAGGAAUUGACGGGGACCCGCACAAGCGGCGGAGCAUGCGGAUUAAUUCGAUGCAACGCGAAGAACCUUACCAAGGCUUGACAUACACCAGAACGCCCUAGAAAUAGGGAACUCUUUGGACACUGGUGAACAGGUGGUGCAUGGUUGUCGUCAGCUCGUGUCGUGAGAUGUUGGGUUAAGUCCCGCAACGAGCGCAACCCUCGUUCUAUGUUGCCAGCACGUAAUGGUGGGAACUCAUGGGAUACUGCCGGGGUCAACUCGGAGGAAGGUGGGGAUGACGUCAAAUCAUCAUGCCCCUUAUGUCUUGGGCUUCACGCAUGCUACAAUGGCCGGUACAAAGGGCUGCAAUACCGUGAGGUGGAGCGAAUCCCAAAAAGCCGGUCCCAGUUCGGAUUGAGGUCUGCAACUCGACCUCAUGAAGUCGGAGUCGCUAGUAAUCGCAGAUCAGCAACGCUGCGGUGAAUACGUUCCCGGGUCUUGUACACACCGCCCGUCAAGUC
rnacentral:rRNA from 1 species